CCUACGGGCGGCAGCAGUGGGGAAUAUUGGACAAUGGGCGAAAGCCUGAUCCAGCCAUGCCGCGUGUGUGAAGAAGGCCUUCGGGUUGUAAAGCACUUUCAGUGGGGAAGAAAGCCUUGGGGCUAAUACCCUCGAGGAAGGACAUCACCCACAGAAGAAGCACCGGCUAACUCCGUGCCAGCAGCCGCGGUAAUACGGAGGGUGCGAGCGUUAAUCGGAAUUACUGGGCGUAAAGCGCGCGUAGGCGGUCUGAUAAGCCGGUUGUGAAAGCCCCGGGCUCAACCUGGGAACGGCAUCCGGAACUGUCAGGCUAGAGUGCAGUAGAGGAAGGUAGAAUUCCCGGUGUAGCGGUGAAAUGCGUAGAGAUCGGGAGGAAUACCAGUGGCGAAGGCGGCCUUCUGGACUGACACUGACGCUGAGGUGCGAAAGCGUGGGUAGCAAACAGGAUUAGAUACCCCGGUAGUC
rnacentral:rRNA from 1 species